rnacentral:pre_miRNA from 1 species
UUAGUUCAUAUUUGUAUGGAAUGGGAUCGUUUGCGUGCGUUUGCCGCUAGGGGCGCUGUUCCAACUGCAUACAAAAUUGGCUUA